GCUGGCGGCAGGCUUAACACAUGCAAGUCGAACGGUAGCACAAAGGAGCUUGCUCCUUGGGUGACGAGUGGCGGACGGGUGAGUAAUGCUUGGGAAUCUGGCUCAUGGAGGGGGAUAACUACGGGAAACUGUAGCUAAUACCGCGUAAUAUCUUCGGAUUAAAGAGUGGGACCNCAAGGCCACUUGCCAUGAGAUGAGCCCAAGUGGGAUUAGGUAGUUGGUGGGGUAAAGGCCUACCAAGCCGACGAUCUCUAGCUGGUCUGAGAGGAUGACCAGCCACACUGGAACUGAGACACGGUCCAGACUCCUACGGGAGGCAGCAGUGGGGAAUAUUGCACAAUGGGGGGAACCCUGAUGCAGCCAUGCCGCGUGAAUGAAGAAGGCCUUCGGGUUGUAAAGUUCUUUCGGUAGCGAGGAAGGUGGUAAUGUUAAUAGCAUUAUCAAUUGACGUUAACUACAGAAGAAGCACCGGCUAACUCCGUGCCAGCAGCCGCGGUAAUACGGAGGGUGCGAGCGUUAAUCGGAAUAACUGGGCGUAAAGGG
rnacentral:rRNA from 1 species